rnacentral:rRNA from 1 species
CAGUAGCCACGGUAAUACGUAGGGUGCAAGCGUUAAUCGGAAUUACUGGGCGUAAAGCGCGCGUAGGUGGUUUGUUAAGUUGGAUGUGAAAUCCCCGGGCUCAACCUGGGAACUGCAUCCAAAACUGGCAAGCUAGAGUAUGGUAGAGGGUGGUGGAAUUUCCUGUGUAGCGGUGAAAUGCGUAGAUAUAGGAAGGAACACCAGUGGCGAAGGCGACCACCUGGACUGAUACUGACACUGAGGUGCGAAAGCGUGGGGAGCAAACAGGAUUAGAUACCCCGGUAGUCCCUGUCUCUUAUAA